UACGGAGGGUGCGAGCGUUGUCCGGAAUCAUUGGGCGUAAAGGGCGCGUAGGUGGCUUCUUAAGCGUGCGGUGAAAGCCCGGGGCUCAACCCCGGGAGGCGGAUGGAUACUGCAGGGCUCGAGUACGGAAGAGGCGAGUGGAAUUCCGAGUGUAGAGGUGAAAUUCGUAGAUAUUAGGAAGAACACCAGUGGCGAAGGCGGCUCACUGGUCCGGUACUGACGCUGAGGUGCGAAAGCGUGUGGAGCAACAGG
rnacentral:rRNA from 1 species